UUCUUGUCUCUGGGCUCCUUCUAUUCCCAUCAAAGCUAAUCCAUCAUUGAGGUUGCACCAGAAAGGCCUCUUUCAAAGGAGGUCUUUAAAUGGAGUCAGCAUUCCUGCUCCUUUUCCUUUUGGGGAGAAGAGGUCACUGAUCACUCGUGCUUCCUCAGAGACUGAUGGAAAUGAUGGAAGUGAACUUGUUCCACCAUCUGAAGGGGCAGCAGAGGCUAUAUCAGUGGAGAACCUUCCUUUGGAGUCAAAAAUUGCAGAUGAUGCUUGAGCAGAAGAGAAGGAUGAAGCUGGGCCAAGAAGAUAAGGCUUCGCAGGAAGAGGCUUGUACGGAAGCGGCGGAUGAGGAAGAGGGCAGAUGGCCACCAUCGAAGAUGAA